GUAAAAAAAAUCAAUAAAAUAUAUUUUUUUAAAAAGGAAAAAAAGUGCAACCAUAGGUAGUCACACACAUCAAAACAUGGUUCCUGCCAACAGAGUCUGUAUAGUUAUCAGAUUUUCUGUGCGAUGGCUCCAUACAUG